GCUACUGUUUACUUCCUGUUUGGAUCUGCCUGUUCCUGUGAGCUCCUGCUACCUGUCCAACAAGAGAAAUUCUUCACUCAGCAAGUUGGUGACAGUGCCUGGACCCUGUUUUAGAGAGUAAAAUCUCUGCGUGGUGCUGAGUCCUUAAGGCAUGCAACCGGCCAUCUCCGCGAGUCUCGAGCCUGGGUUGGAGCGAGGGGUCCCCUGGGGUCCUGACCUUUACACCUUUGUAACUUCAGCAGCAGGUCACCUGAUGAGGACCCUGCAGAAACCCAAGAAGAACCGACCAUCCAAGCGGCAGGUCAACCACCGUCGCUUCCUGCACAACAUGAUUCAGAGGUCUCAUACAUAGUCCAGCAUCGCCGAACCAUCAGUUUGGAAGGGUUACCGAUAUUUGUUCGCGACGACGAGACCAAACUCUUCCUAACAUGUCUGGACCCUGGAGAAAAACAAAAAGAAAGGCAAGAUCUUUUAAGGACAGUCGGCAGGACCACCCCAACUCAAGAAAGUUUUGUUUGCCAAUGUUGCCAGUCAGGACACCAGUGUGUGGCUCAGAUAUUACCCCACCUCCUCCCGAUCUUCCUCUAUCCUCCCCUCUUCAGGACCCUGGAGAAAAACAAAAAGAAAGGCAAGAUCUUUUAAGGACAGUCGGCAGGACCACCCCAACUCAAGAAAGUUUUGUUUGCCAAUGUUGCCAGUCAGGACACCAGUGUGUGGCUCUGAUAUUACCCCACCUCCUCCCGAUCUUCCUCUAUCCUCCCCUCUUCAGGACCCUGGAGAAAAACAAAAAGAAAGGCAAGAUCUUUUAAGGACAGUCGGCAGGACCACACCAACUCAAGAAAGUUUUGUUUGCCAAUGUUGCCAGUCAGGACACCAGUGUGUGGCUCUGAUAUUACCCCACCUCCUCCCGAUCUUCCUCUAUCCUCCCCUCUUCAGGACCCUGGAGAAAAACAAAAAGAAAGGCAAGAUCUUUUAAGGACAGUCGGCAGGACCACACCAACUCAAGAAAGUUUUGUUUGCCAAUGUUGCCAGUCAGGACACCAGUGUGUGGCUC